rnacentral:rRNA from 1 species
UACGAAGGGGGCUAGCGUUGUUCGGAAUUACUGGGCGUAAAGCGCGCGUAGGCGGCUUUGUAAGUUAGAGGUGAAAGCCCAGGGCUUAACCCUGGAAUUGCCUUUAAGACUGCAUCGCUAGAAUCGUGGAGAGGUGAGUGGAAUUCCGAGUGUAGAGGUGAAAUUCGUAGAUAUUCGGAAGAACACCAGUGGCGAAGGCGACUCACUGGACACGUAUUGACGCUGAGGUGCGAAAGCGUGGGGAGCAAACAGG